UCCCUGGUGGCUCAAUGGUAAAGAAUCUGCCUGCCAAUGCAGGGGAUACGGGUUCAAUCCCUGGUCAGGGAA
rnacentral:tRNA from 1 species